rnacentral:tRNA from 1 species
UACUGUUUAGCUUAAAUUAAAAGCACUUUAUUGAAGAUAAAUAAAUCCAUUUCCAUUAUGAA